GGUAACACUGAAUGGAGGACCGAACCGACUUACGUUGAAAAGUGAGCGGAUGAACUGAGGGUAGCGGAGAAAUUCCAAUCGAACCUGGAGAUAGCUGGUUCUCUCCGAAAUAGCUUUAGGGCUAGCCUCAAGUGAUGAUUAUUGGAGGUAGAGCACUGUUUGGACGAGGGGCCCCUCUCGGGUUACCGAAUUCAGACAAACUCCGAAUGCCAAUUAAUUUAACUUGGGAGUCAGAACAUGGGUGAUAAGGUCCGUGUUCGAAAGGGAAACAGCCCAGACCACCAGCUAAGGUCCCAAAAUAUAUGUUAAGUGGAAAAGGAUGUGGCGUUGCCCAGACAACUAGGAUGUUGGCUUAGAAGCAGCCAUCAUUUAAAGAGUGCGUAAUAGCUCACUAGUCGAGUGACACUGCGCCGAAAAUGUACCGGGGCUAAACAUAUUACCGAAGCUGUGGAUUGUCCUUUGGACAAUGGUAGGAGAGCGUUCUAAGGGCGUUGAAGCAUGAUCGUAAGGACAUGUGGAGCGCUUAGAAGUGAGAAUGCCGGUGUGAGUAGCGAAAGACGGGUGAGAAUCCCGUCCACCGAUUGACUAAGGUUUCCAGAGGAAGGCUCGUCCGCUCUGGGUUAGUCGGGUCCUAAGCUGAGGCCGACAGGCGUAGGCGAUGG
rnacentral:rRNA from 1 species